UACAGAGGUCCCGAGCGUUGUUCGGAUUUAUUGGGCGUAAAGGGUGCGUAGGCGGCGGAGUAAGUUGGGUGUGAAAUCCCGGGGCUCAACCUCGGAAUUGCAUUCAAUACUGCUUCGCUAGAGUACUGGAGAGGAGGCUGGAAUUUACGGUGUAGCAGUGAAAUGCGUAGAUAUCGUAAGGAAGGCCGGUGGCGAAAGCGAGCCUCUGGACAGUUACUGACGCUGAUGCACGAAGGCCAGGGGAGCAAACGGG
rnacentral:rRNA from 1 species